rnacentral:rRNA from 1 species
AGAGUUUGAUCCUGGCUCAGGACGAACGCUGGCGGCGCGCUUAACACAUGCAAGUCGAGCGAGAACCAGGGCUUCGGCCCUGGGGACAGCGGCGAACGGGUGAGUAACACGUGGGUAAUCUGCCCUCGGCAUCGGGAUAGCCCGGGGAAACCCGGAUUAAUACCGGAUAGCCUCCGGAGCCUUCGGGCACCGGAGAAAAGGUAGCUUCGGCCUCUGGCCGAGGAUGAGCCCGCGGCGGAUUAGCUUGUUGGCGGGGUAACGGCCCACCAAGGCGACGAUCCGUAGCUGGUCUGAGAGGACGAUCAGCCACACUGGGACUGAGACACGGCCCAGACUCCUACGGGAGGCAGCAGUGGGGAAUCUUGCGCUAAUGCGGGAAACCGUGACGCAGCGACGCCGCGUGGGGGAAGAAGGCCUUCGGGUUGUAAACCUCUUUCAGGAGGGACGAAGCUACUCGGGUUAAUAGCCCAGAGGGUGACGGUACCUCCAGAAGAAGCCCCGGCUAACUACGUGCCAGCAGCCGCGGUAAUACGUAGGGGGCAAGCGUUGUCCGGAUUUAUUGGGCGUAAAGAGCGUGUAGGCGGCCUGACAGGUCUGCUGUGAAAACUCGAGGCUCAACCUCGAGAUGUCGGCGGAAACCGUCUGGCUAGAGUCCGGAAGAUGAGAGUGUAUUCCUGGUGUAGCGGUGAAAUGCGCAGAUAUCAUGAAGAACACCUAUGGCGAAGCAGCUCUCUGGGACGGUACUGACGCUGAGACGCGAAAGCGUGGGGAGCGAACAGGAUUAGAUACCCUGGUAGUCC